GUUUUUAUUUAAAUAUUUUAAAUGCCAACAUUGAUGCAUUUUGCUAUUUUACAUACUCUACACUUUCUAAAUGAUAAUACUAGCUUACAUUGAUGUAGUAUUUUAUGGUUUUCAGGGCACUAAUAUACACAUGAUGAUACUUAAUUCUCUCAGAAAACCUUUGGCAAAGACACUUUCUACAUCUUGAAGGCAAGGAAUCUGAAUCUUGAAGAGAUUAAAUGAAUUGUCCAAAGUCACGUGGGGGUUUGGGAGAAGGAAAAUCAUGAACACACAUUCUUCUACUCUGGAGAAGUGGGGAAGGUGACCUGGGAAACCAUCUGAAAGGGAGCAGGAUGGAUUCUAUAAAAUAUAGAGUGUUCAAUGAAAACAACCUGAUGCUCCUCCCAGUACCAUCACAUUUUUCUAGCUGCAUAUCCUUAGGUAAGUCAAUGUCUGAAUUUCAGUUUCCUCACUGUUAAAUGGGAUAAUAAGCUUUACCUUACAGGAUUAUUGUGGAAAUUGGGAAAUAAUAUUAAUAUAUGAAAACAUAGGGGCAUGAUAGUGACAUGUAUUAACUCAUUCAUACACCAAAAAAACACCACUUCAGCUUCUUAUCCCUGGUCUAGAAUUCCUUUUCAUGUUUUUGUUUGGUGUUGAGAUGGAAAAACAGUGAGAAGUUAAUCCUGGAGUGGAGUAGAGGAUUGGCAACAACCCUCAACCCCUGCUAAAAUCUUCAUUGCACAAAUACAUGCUUGCUUUGUUUUACCUGUGAGUCAAAGGAUUAGGCUGCAUGAUAUUUUCAUUCUCUUUAGUUUUUUAGUUCCUCAAUCCACACACAUUUUAUAUAAUGCUUACGAUUAUACAUUUAUCUCAUAAUUUUUUUCUCAUUCUUUAAACUAUGAGAACAAGGAAAAUGGCAUUCAUUUUCAUUGUUUGAGAACAAGUUGUGAUUUUAUAUUAGUCGUUGCAGAAGGUGGGAAGAAAGCGAGGAUGGGCUAACUCACCACCACCAUUUUCCCAUCCACCAGCUUUCUCG
rnacentral:lncRNA from 1 species